rnacentral:rRNA from 1 species
CUCCGGUUGAUCCUGCCGGACCCGACUGCUAUCAGAGUGAGAUUAAGCCAUGCGAGUUAACGUAGCAAUACGUGGCGCACGGCUCAGUAACACGUAGUCAACAUGCCCAGAGGACGUGGAUAACCUCGGGAAACUGAGUCUAAACCGCGAUAAGUGAGGAUUUCUGGAAUGGUUCCUGACCAAAAUCUAUAUGGCCUCUGGAUUGGACUGCGGCCGAUCAGGCUGUUGGUGAGGUAAUGGCCCACCAAACCUGUAACCGGUACGGGCUCUGAGAGGAGGAGCCCGGAGAUGGGCACUGAGACAAGGGCCCAGGCCCUAUGGGGCGCAGCAGGCGCGAAACCUCUGCAAUAGGCGAAAGCCUGACAGGGUUACUCUGAGUGACUUUCGCUAAGAAAGUCUUUUGGCACCUCUAAAAAGGGUGCAGAAUAAGGGGUGGGCAAGUCUGGUGUCAGCCGCCGCGGUAAUACCAGCACCCCGAGUGGUCGGGACGAUUAUUGGGCCUAAAGCAUCCGUAGCCGGUUCUGCAAGUCCCCCGUUAAAUCCAGCUGCUCAACAGAUGGGCCGCGGAGGAUACUACAGAGCUAGGAGGCAGGAGAGGCAAGCGGUACUCAGUGGGUAGGGGUAAAAUCCGUUGAUCCAUUGAAGACCACCAGUGGCGAAGGCGGCUUGCCAGAAUGCGCUCGACGGUGAGGGAUGAAAGCUGGGGGAGCAAACCGGAUUAGAUACCCGGGUAGUCCCAGCCGUAAACGAUGCAGACUCGGUGAUGGGUUGGCUUCGCGCUAACCCAGUGCCGCAGGGAAGCCGUUAAGUCUGCCGCCUGGGUAGUACGGUCGCAAGACUGAAACUUAAAGGAAUUGGCGGGGGAGCA